rfam:Schistosoma mansoni, Puerto Rico, WGS project CABG01000000 data, contig: 0077
CUGCCACUGAGGAGUCCCACAAUAAAACGAAACGGCCGUCCAGCGCCUGCAG